GGGUUAGUAGGUUGGUCAUGCCUCUGGUAUGUACUGGUCUCACUGAUUCCUCCUUCCUGAUGAACCUUAAUGCCAUUAAUUUGGUGUUUUGGGGAAUUUGGACUGUUACUUUGAAAAAAUUAGAGUGUUUAAAGCAAGCUAACGCUUGAAUACAUUAGCAUGGAAUAAUGAAAUAGGACGUUCGAUCCUAUUUUGUUGGUUUCUAGGAUUGACGUAAUGAUUAAUAGGGAUAGUUGGGGGCAUUAGUAUUCAAUUGUCAGAGGUGAAAUUCUUGGAUUUAUUGAAGACUAACUACUGCGAAAGCAUUUGCCAAGGAUGUUUUCAUUAAUCAAGAACGAAAGUUAGGGGAUCGAAGACGAUCAGAUACCGUCGUAGUCUUAACCAUAAACUAUGCCGACUAGGGAUCGGAUGAUGUUAAUUUUUUAAUGACUCAUUCGGCACCU
rnacentral:rRNA from 1 species